rnacentral:misc_RNA from 1 species
GAACUUUAUUAUCAUGUUCAUGGCAAGUCCAACAUACAUUAGAAACCCUUAUCUAAGAGCAAAGAUGGUUGAAGUAUUGAACUGCUGGAUGCCUCGUAGAAGUGGUUCAUCUCCUGCGACUACUCUGUUUGAAGGGCAUCAAUUGUCCCUUGAGUAUCUUGUCAGGAACCUCUUGAAGCUUUAUGUUGACAUUGAGUUUACUGGUUCUCACACCCAGUUUUAUGAUAAGUUCAACAUCCGACAUAAUAUUGCAGAACUUCUUGAAUACCUAUGGGAGGUCCCUAGUCAUCGAAAUUCUUGGAGACAGAUUGCUAAGGAAGAGGAAAAGGGUGUCUAUCUGAAUUUCUUAAACUUCCUGAUCAAUGAUAGCAUCUUUCUUCUUGAUGAAAGUCUGAACAAAAUUCUUGAACUUAAAGAGUUGGAAGCUGAGAUGUCAAACACUACAGAAUGGGAGCGAAGGCCAGCUCAAGAGAGGCAGGAGAGGACCCGUCUUUUCCAUUCCCAAGAGAAUAUCAUUCGGAUUGAUAUGAAAUUGGCAAAUGAAGAUGUGAGCAUGCUAGCAUUUACAUCAGAGCAAAUUACAGCACCUUUUCUACUUCCUGAGAUGGUUGAAAGAGUGGCCAGCAUGCUCAAUUACUUUUUGUUCCAACUUGUGGGUCCCCAAAGAAAAUCUCUAACUCUUAAAGACCCAGAAAAGUAUGAAUUCCGCCCAAAACAGUUGCUUAAACAGAUUGUCCAUGUAUAUGUUCAUCUGGCAAGGGGUGAUACAGAAAACAUAUUUCCAGCUGCUAUCUCUAAGGAUGGUCGAUCAUACAAUGAGCAGUUAUUUAAUGCUGCAGCUAAUGUGCUUAGGAGAAUUGGUGAAGAUGGGAGGGUUAUACAGGAAUUCAUUGAGCUCGGUGUCAAAGCCAAAGUGGCAGCUUCUGAGGCAAUGGACACUGAAGCUGCCCUUGGAGAGAUACCGGAUGAAUUCCUUGAUCCAAUUCAGUACACUUUGAUGAAGGAUCCGGUGAUCUUACCUUCUUCAAGAAUCACAGUAGACAGACCUGUCAUUCAAAGGCAUCUUCUUAGUGACAAUAGUGAUCCAUUCAACCGCUCCCAUCUCACUGCGGACAUGCUGAUUCCAAAUGUUGAGUUGAAGGCAAGAAUUGAGGAAUUCAUUAGAUCCCAAGAAUUAAAAAGGCACGGGGAUGACUUCAGCAUGCAGAGCUCUAAAGCGGCGAUACAAAGAACAACUGGAGACAUGUUAAUUGACUAGGGCAUUAGAGCUUUUAUAGAAGUUUAUUAAAGCUUUUACCUUGGGGCAUCCCAGUUCCGACUUCUAAAUGUCAAAUGUAAAAUGACAAAAUGGUUUCAGACGAAAGCUUUUUGAUUUUUUAGUGCUUGUUAAUUUAUUAUUUACAGCCAAACUGUUGGCCAACUUCACUCGUCACAUUGUGCAAUAGGUUUUACCCGGUUAAUUUGUGAAUCCUCAAAAUUGUCUUCUAUAAAUUUGCUGCAAGUCUCAGAAAAAAUCAAAAAGCUUUCGUCUGAAACC